UUCAUAGUUACGGACAGCUGUCUCAAUCUGUUAACUUCGACAGUUUUGCAGCCGUGUUUAAUUUGACAUGUAUUUAACGGUUUAAAACACUAAAUUUUUCAUUGUCAAGUUUGAACAUGUCUUAAUUUACUAUGCUCCCGGCGUAAUGCACGCCGUAUUUGACAAUCAUCUUCCACCUUGUUUAGUACGUACUCGUUACGUAAUAUAAAUAAUGAAUGAGCACUGCCCGUGUUGAUGUUUCAAGCAGAUGUUAAUAGUACAUUAGUAUAUAAAGGAUAUAAAAAUGAACCGGUGGACCGAAAAACUUUUAAACCAGCGUCGACAUCAGUUACUGAACCAUUUUUCCUGAAAGCUCAGGUCUCCGGAUAGCUGAUCGUAUCCGGGUCAAUACAAAUCAGCCUGGAAUGUGUUAUUUAUAAAUUAGUUUAAGAGGUUAUUGUUUUGAAGAAUCGAUGGGCCGAAACACACUUUUAAAACAGCCUCUCUACGGACCGUGACCUACGUUACAAACAUCAACAGUUACUGAACCAUUUUGCUGAAUACGUUCAGGCCUCACGGUAACUGAUCGUAACCAGGUCAAUACCAAUAAAUCUGGAAUGUGUUGUUCAUAAAUUAUAUUAAGAGGUUAUUGUGUUUGAAGGAGUUGAUUCACGACAAGGAAAUAUAUCAUGGGAGGAUGUACAGAAUGGUGUAAAAGUGAAUUUAAAGUGAAGAAUUUGUUGCUACAGCACGAAGAUCCACAAACUUUCAUUCAAUUUCAGUUUGGUUCCCAGAAAUUGUACCUAGUGUGGCGGAUAUUUUGGGCUCUGUACCACGUGGCCUGGAUUAUAGUGUCAGGGGUCAAGUCUGAUCUGUGGGCCGGAGAAGACAAUAGCCAGUAUAUAAAAUGGUUCAUUUUCCUCACAGACUGGGCUUACUUUAUACUGACACUGUCUACAAUUGUGGACGCUACAAUGGUCACAUAUGUGUUUGUUAGACGAACAGACAUUCGGGAAGGUAUAGAGAUUGGCCUACCGUGGUAUAUACGAGCUGAUUGGUGCAUUUUCAACAUGGGCAACGUUAUAAGUGUCUCAACAUCAGUAGCAUAUUGGGCGCUAGUAUAUGAUGGAAGUCAGCCUAUGACAUCAGUUAACAUUGCAACGCAUAUAAUCAACACUUUGUAUGUGAUUUUAAAUAUCAGUGUGACUGGAAUGCCGAAACGAGUCUUACAUUUCUGGUUCUCUGUUGUAUUCGGUGUGGUUUACGCUUUGUUCACCUUAUUUUAUUAUUUGGCUGGGGGAACCAACCAUAAUGAGAACCCGUAUGUGUAUCCGGCACUUGAUUGGAGGACACCGGGGACUGCUACUUUGUACUGUGUAAUAGUGUGUUUUGUUUUGGUGCCAGUAGUUCAUUUAAUUCUAUAUGGAAUUCAUCGGCUGAAAAUCUUGCUGUACCAGAAAUGUGACUGUUGCAGAAGUUCAAGAAAUGAAAGAGAUUCUACCGUGGAAAUGAAACAACAAUAUCCGUAUUAGGAACAGAAUAACAAGAUGCCCCGAGUUUUUCUUCAAAUACUACGUACCAACAAAGAACUAAAAAAAAUUUUAUAGCUCUUUGGUACCAUAGGGGCCCGGGCAUUGGGUGGAUCGUGUUAAAAUGUGCUGGAGCAUAAAAUAUUGAACCCUCUCGUUUAUAGGAUGUCACGAACGUUGGAGGUUUGAUUGCUGGACAACUCCGAUUCUUCCAUGACCAGUGAUUGCUCACUAGAAGUAACGUCUGCGACUUUUUGCCACAACGCCGUUUGUUUAAUUAAAGUUUUAUGAAGCAAUGCAUCCGUGACAACGCAAUAACCUCGGGUUAAAUAAUUGUCAACAUUAUGGCAUCUGUUUACAUGUAUACUCUCAAGGGAACAUGUUGGCGGAACAACAUUUUGCUGUAGGGAACAUUUCGAUUUAAUCAGUUAACUGCGUAUCUGCUUCGAACUGGACACUGAUUUAUAUGUUUCUGGUAAACUCCCACUUUAACAUGAUGUAGAAACAAAUGAGUAUGCACACAAUACAUUUUUAGAGAAAAGAUAUAUUCAGCAAAUUAUAGUUUCCAACAACACAAAACAGAUGUCGCUACAUAUGAACCGCACCAUGAGAAAACCAACAUAGUGUCUUUGCGACUAGCAUGGAUCCAGACCAGCCUGCGCAUCCGCACAGUCUGGUCAGGAUCCAUCUGUUCGCAAAUGGUUUCUCUAAUUGUAAUAGGCUUUGAAAGUGAACAGCAUGGAUCCUGACCAGACUGCGCGGAUGCAAAGCCACUAUGUUGGUUUUCUCAUGGCGCGGCUCAUAUUUUAUCUACAUGUAUUUAUUUCAUCUAUCGGCUAAUUCUAUUCAACAUCCUAGCAUCCUAGCACCUCUCUGUUUGCACGUGUCGUUGUACUGAGCAACGUGGCGAGAUACCCCUGUGCACGUUUGUCGCAUGCACUGAAGGCAGCAUCCAUACAGCAGGACUUUACGUCAUAAUAGGCCCUGUAACGGACGAAAAAAACAUAUAUAGCUAUAGACAGAUACUUUAACAACAGGGUGAAGAAACACUUCUUACCGUACUAUUCACUGACUUGGUAUCGUCAACUUCUAAUGAAAAUAUAUUUCAAAAAUUUAUGAUAAUUGCACACAAUGCAUGUUAAUUUGAGGUCAUUUUACGCAUAAAAUUGAUUGAGUUAUUUUCUUCUGUUUAUAUAUUGCUUGAACUUAAACUGCUGAUAAACCAGAAUCGCGUAGAAAAUACGUAAAAGUUACGUAGAAACACGUAAUCCUAAGAAACACUUGCAAAAAAAAAAUGAUUACAGAAAUGAAUCUGAAACCUUACCCACAGAGUCCUCUAUUUAGCUCAUCCGAACUGAGGGUAGUGUCGCUGACUACAUUGUCGACUACAAUUUUGAAUAACUCAAAACAGUAGGUGCACGUGUGCUGCAGGUCACCACGUGCUAGGCACGAACUCGUGACUAUAUCUGAAAAAAAAAGGAUAUACGAGCCGUGCCAUGGGAAA